rnacentral:rRNA from 1 species
UACGUAGGAUGCAAGCGUUGUCCGGAAUUACUGGGCGUAAAGGGCGCGCAGGCGGUCAGACAAGUCUGCUGUGAAAUCUCUGGGCUUAACCUGGAGGGGUCGGUGGAAACUGUCGGACUAGAGUGCAGGAGAGGUUCGUGGAAUUCCCGGUGUAGUGGUGAAAUGCGUAGAGAUCGGGAGGAACACCAGUGGCGAAAGCGGCGAACUGGCCUGCAACUGACGCUGAGGCGCGAAGGCUAGGGGAGCAAACAGG